rnacentral:rRNA from 1 species
CGGGUUCCUGCGUAAAGCUAAUCUGCGCAGGGUCAGCCGGCCCCUAAGAUAAGGCCGAAAGGCGUAGUCGAUGGGAAUCAGGUGAAUAUUCCUGAGCCAGUGGGUGGUGACGAAUUCCGUAUGUUGUUGGAUCUUAUUGGAUUGAUCCGGCAUCGAAGGGGUUCCAGGAAAUAGCCCCCACAUCAGACCGUACCCUAAACCGACACAGGUGGACUGGUAGAGCAUACUAAGGCGAUUGAGUUAAAGAUGCUGAAGGAACUCGGCAAAUUGCCUCCGUAACUUCGGAAGAAGGAGGCCCGAUUGGUGGGCAACCAUCAGUCGGGGGCACAGACCAGGGGGUAGCGACUGUUUAUCAAAAACACAGGGCUCUGCGAAGUCCAAAGACGACGUAUAGGGUCUGACGCCUGCCCGGUGCCGGAAGGUUAAGAGGAGGGGUGCAAGCUCUGAAUCGAAGCCCCGGUAAACGGCGGCCGUAACAAUAACGGUCCUAAGGUAGCGAAAUUCCUUGUCGGGUAAGUUCCGACCUGCACGAGGGCGUAACGACUUCCCCGCUGUCUCCAGCAUCUGCUCAGUGAAAUUGAAUUCCCCGUGAAGAUGCGGGGUUCCUGCGGUUAGACGGAAAGACCCCAUGAACCUUUACUAUAACUUUGCACUGGCAUUCGUGAAAGUAUGUGUAGGAUAGGUGGCAGGCUUUGAAGCUUGGGCGCCAGCUCAGGUGGAGCCAACCUUGAAAUACCACCCUUAAUUUCAUGAAUGUCUAACCGCGGCCCGUUAUCCGGGCUCGAGACAGUGCAUGGUGGGUAGUUUGACUGGGGCGGUCGCCUCCCAAAGCAUAACGGAGGCGCGCGAUGGUGGGCUCAGAGCGGUCGGAAAUCGCUCGUCGAGUGCAAUGGCAUAAGCCCGCCUGACUGCGAGACUGACAAGUCGAGCAGAGUCGAAAGACGGUCAUAGUGAUCCGGUGGUCCCACGUGGACGGGCCAUCGCUCAACGGAUAAAAGGUACUCUGGGGAUAACAGGCUGAUGAUGCCCAAGCGUCCAUAGCGACGGCAUCGUUUGGCACCUCGAUGUCGACUCAUCACAUCCUGGGGCUGGAGCAGGUCCCAAGGGUUCGGCUGUUCGCCGAUUAAAGUGGUACGUGAGUUGGGUUCAGAACGUCGUGAGACAGUUCGGUCCCUAUCUGCCGUGGGUGUAGGAGAAUUGAGAGGAUCUGUCCCUAGUACGAGAGGACCGGGAUGGACGUACCUCUGGUGGACCUGUUGUGGCGCCAGCCGCAUUGCAGGGUAGCUAAGUACGGACGGGAUAACCGCUGAAGGCAUCUAAGUGGGAAACCCACCUCAAAACUAUUUCUCCCUGAAGAGUCGUGGUAGACCACCACGUUGAUAGGCCGGGUGUGGAAGUGCAGCAAUGCAUGGAGCUUACCGGUACUAAUAGCCC